UAUAUAACGUGGAAUAAAAUAAUAUUUUUUAAAUACUGCAAAUGUGUCUUAUAGAAAAAUUUCGAAAAAAGAAAUUGUGCGGGUAUAUAACGAUGAUCUCUCUUCGCAAUAAAACAUAUUGGAAUCUUGCUUGUUUGACUGGUUGAUAUGGAAACUCUAUGGAAACCAAAUGAAUGCGAUCAAUACCAUUCUUCAAAUAUAUUCCCUAAUAUAUUAUUCUUUUCGUACGAUAAUUCUGACGUUUUUUUUUUUUUUUUCAUUUUAUUACUUACGAUCGAAAUAAUAUCAUUUCAAAACGAUGAUAAACGAUUAACUUUAAUUAUUGUUAUGCUUAAUGUAAAUAUAAAAAUGAAAAGAGGAAUCGAUCGAUUUAAAAUCGGAUAUAAUGAAGAAUUAUAUUUAAAAAUAUUAAGAACGAUAUAUUUUCCCGCUCAUGAAGGUUCUAUAAUUAAUUAAUAUAUAGAAAGAUUCGUAAUGACGGUAAUAGAAAGGCUGUCGUACGAUCUACUUUACCGACAUAAAUAUAGACGGGCGCUCGCCGUUGUUCGUUUUCGUAAUCGGCCGCAAGAUGGCCGCGGAGCGCAACCGUGCACCUGUAGUGACAGCACGUGCUAAGACGACUAUAAAUUGUGAUCAGAUAGUUUCCCGCUUUUUAAAGUGUUACAUUUCGGCUCGUGGAACAUUCGGAAGGAUAAUAGGUGUCGUCGAACCUGAAACAGAGGAAACGAUAAGGAAUGAAUCACUCGGAUUCCAUGGAAGUCUCAUAAAAUAAGGAGUCAUCGAAAAUUUGAUGAUAGCAACGAACACGAUCGGGUGAAAAGUGUUUAGGUGCGCGUUUGCGCGCGGAAAUCGUAGCUUUCGAUCAAGAAGAAGGUACACCGCUUGAAUAUAACGAGUUGUUAACGCUGGUAAUAAUAUGUAGCUGAUGUCCCGGUGUGCACCGGUAGCACCGUGUCUGUUCCCUGCUUGCCUGCCUGCUUGCCUGCCUGCCUCCAUGCCUGCCUGCCUGCCUGCCUGCCUCCAUGCCUGCCUGCCUGCCUACUUGCCUUGCCUGCCUUACUGUAUGCGGAUAAAGCUCGUUUUGUUGCCUCGACUGGCGCGUGUGCGCGAGAGCAAGAGAACGAGAGAUGAAGGGAGAAGAAAAUGAGAGAGAGAGAGAGAGAGAGGAGAGUAUCGUUCGUGUGCGAGCAUCCGGCUUGGAUGACCAAUCAGUGUAAUUAUCCUGCUGCUCUCUGCCAACAUACCGUCACCUCUCUUUCUCUCUCUCUUUCUCUAUGUACGCUUUAGGUACUUACACAACAUCCACUUGCUGGAUAGCUGUGUGUACGUAUGUAUACAUAUAUAUAUAUAUAUGUGUGUACACACAUGUAUACAACAGGACAUUCGUAAUGUUAAUGCAUCGAAAAAAACGAGUUUCAUCUUAUCCUUGAUAAAAAAAAAAAAAGAAUCGAUCGCCACGAGUAUAGAUAUGUAAUAAUAAUUAACACAUAUAUAUAUAUAUAUACACACACACACACACACAUUGUAAAAAAAUGAUCAAUGAUGAUACAUAAAUGAGCACGAUAAUUAUUAGCAUUGAUUUUAGUAGUAUCCUAUUGAAUCCGAGACAAUGUUUCGGACUUCAUUCAAAUUGGUAACGUCGUAGAUUAAUCGUCAUUAUUUCCGUAAUGAUAAAAAUUCAUUGAUAAAGAAAGAAAAAAAACAGAAGAAAAAUUCAUGGUUAUCGAAUAUUCAUCGAUGAUCAUUAUAAUAUAUUCGUAUAUUAUAAAUAUAUAUACUAAAUUUAUAGCAAUGUUAAAAGUUCACAGACGUUUCUCGUAAUAAAUGUUAAUCCAUUAAUUUCAAUUGCAAAAACGUCGAUGACAGUCGAAUUCGAAAUUACCGAAUGAAUCCCAGAAUUUAUAAAUGACAUUUUUGUCUUUUUUUUAACGCUGAUAACAUAUAUAUAUAUAUAUAUAUAUAUAUAUAUAUAUAUAUAUAUACAUAUGUAAUUAAAUAACAUAUAUAUAUACAUACGUUAAGUGUUAAGUAUAAAUA